rnacentral:rRNA from 1 species
GACGUAGGGCGCGAGCGUUGUCCGGAUUUAUUGGGCGUAAAGAGCGUGUAGGCGGCUUGGAAGGUCAGCUGUGAAAACUCGAGGCUCAACCUCGAGACGUCGGUUGAAACCACCUGGCUAGAGUCCGGAAGAGGAGUGUGGAAUUCCCGGUGUAGCGGUGAAAUGCGCGGAUAUCGGGAAGAACACCCGUGGCGAAGGCGGCACUCUGGGACGGUACUGACGCUGAGACGCGAAAGCGUGGGGAGCGAACAGG